GAGUUUGAUCAUGGCUCAGAUUGAACGCUGGCGGCAGGCCUAACACAUGCAAGUCGAGCGGAUGAGAAGAGCUUGCUCUUCGAUUCAGCGGCGGACGGGUGAGUAAUGCCUAGGAAUCUGCCUGGUAGUGGGGGACAACGUUUCGAAAGGAACGCUAAUACCGCAUACGUCCUACGGGAGAAAGCAGGGGACCUUCGGGCCUUGCGCUAUCAGAUGAGCCUAGGUCGGAUUAGCUAGUUGGUGAGGUAAUGGCUCACCAAGGCGACGAUCCGUAACUGGUCUGAGAGGAUGAUCAGUCACACUGGAACUGAGACACGGUCCAGACUCCUACGGGAGGCAGCAGUGGGGAAUAUUGGACAAUGGGCGAAAGCCUGAUCCAGCCAUGCCGCGUGUGUGAAGAAGGUCUUCGGAUUGUAAAGCACUUUAAGUUGGGAGGAAGGGCAGUAAGAUAAUACCUUGCUGUUUUGACGUUACCGACAGAAUAAGCACCGGCUAACUCUGUGCCAGCAGCCGCGGUAAUACAGAGGGUGCAAGCGUUAAUCGGAAUUACUGGGCGUAAAGCGCGCGUAGGUGGUUUGUUAAGUUGGAUGUGAAAGCCCCGGGCUCAACCUGGGAACUGCAUCCAAAACUGGCAAGCUAGAGUACGGUAGAGGGUGGUGGAAUUUCCUGUGUAGCGGUGAAAUGCGUAGAUAUAGGAAGGAACACCAGUGGCGAAGGCGACCACCUGGACUGAUACUGACACUGAGGUGNNNAAGCGUGGGGAGCAAACAGGAUUAGAUACCCUGGUAGUCCACGCCGUAAACGAUGUCAACUAGCCGUUGGAAUCCUUGAGAUUUUAGUGGCGCAGCUAACGCAUUAAGUUGACCGCCUGGGGAGUACGGCCGCAAGGUUAAAACUCAAAUGAAUUGACGGGGGCCCGCACAAGCGGUGGAGCAUGUGGUUUAAUUCGAAACAACGCGAAGAACCUUACCAGGCCUUGACAUGCAGAGAACUUUCUAGAGAUAGAUUGGUGCCUUCGGGAACUCUGACACAGGUGCUGCAUGGCUGUCGUCAGCUCGUGUCGUGAGAUGUUGGGUUAAGUCCCGUAACGAGCGCAACCCUUGUCCUUAGUUACCAGCACGUUAUGGUGGGCACUCUAAGGAGACUGCCGGUGACAAACCGGAGGAAGGUGGGGAUGACGUCAAGUCAUCAUGGCCCUUACGGCCUGGGCUACACACGUGCUACAAUGGUCGGUACAGAGGGUUGCCAAGCCGCGAGGUGGAGCUAAUCUCACAAAACCGAUCGUAGUCCGGAUCGCAGUCUGCAACUCGACUGCGUGAAGUCGGAAUCGCUAGUAAUCGCGAAUCAGAAUGUCGCGGUGAAUACGUUCCCGGGCCUUGUACACACCGCCCGUCACACCAUGGGAGUGGGUUGCACCAGAAGUAGCUAGUCUAACCUUCGGGAGGACGGUUACCACGGUGUGAUUCAUGACUGGGGUGAAGUCGUAACAAGGUAACC
rnacentral:rRNA from 1 species